rnacentral:rRNA from 1 species
AUUGAACGCUGGCGGCAGGCUUAACACAUGCAAGUCGAGCGGAGAUGAGGUGCUUGCACCUUAUCUUAGCGGCGGACGGGUGAGUAAUGCUUAGGAAUCUGCCUAUUAGUGGGGGACAACAUUCCGAAAGGAAUGCUAAUACCGCAUACGUCCUACGGGAGAAAGCAGGGGAUCUUCGGACCUUGCGCUACUAGAUGAGCCUAAGUCGGAUUAGCUAGUUGGUGGGGUAAAGGCCUACCAAGGCGACGAUCUGUAGCGGGUCUGAGAGGAUGAUCCGCCCCACUGGGACUGAGACACGGCCCAGACUCGUACGGGAGGCAGCAGUGGGGAAUAUUGGACAAUGGGGGAAACCCUGAUCCAGCCAUGCCGCGUGUGUGAAGAAGGCGUUAUGGUUGUAAAGCACUUUAAGCGAGGAGGAGGCUACUGAGACUAAUACUCUUGGAUAGUGGACGUUACUCGCAGAAUAAGCACCGGCUAACUCUGUGCCAGCCGCCGCUGUAAAAC